rnacentral:rRNA from 1 species
CAGCCGUAAACAAUGUGCGUUAGGUGUGUCGGUAACCACGUGUUACUGAUGCGCCGAAGAGAAAUCGUGAAACGCACCACCUGGGAAGUACGGUCGCAAGGCUGAAACUUAAAGGAAUUGGCGGGGGAGCACCACAACAGGUGGAGCCUGCGGUUUAAUUGGAUUCAACACCGUAAACUCACCAGGGAAGACUGUUACAUGAAGGCCGAGAUGAAGACUCUGCUAGAUUUUCAGAGAGGAGGUGCAUGGCGUCAGUGACU